GUUUAUUUUAAUUUAGUGCAAGAAGUUACUACAUCACCAGCAUUACUUGCUGAAAGCACUGAGGCAGCAUGUGGAAGUGAACAAUUUGAAAAUCCAGCAAUUCAAAAUAUUGAAUUCAUCAUUACCGAUGAUGAAAAUGAAAUUAGUACAAAUGUGGUUGAUGCUGCCAAUGGAGAAGAUUCUCAACCACAUGAACAAGG